rnacentral:tRNA from 1 species
GGGGUUGUGACUCAGCGGUAGAGCCCUUGCCUAGCAUGCACGAGGCCCUGGGUUUGAUCCUCAGCACCACA